rnacentral:rRNA from 1 species
GUAACAAGGUUUCCGUAGGUGAACCUGCGGAAGGAUCAUUAUCGAAUAUGAUAUGAUGGAAAGAAGAUAGAGAGACUGUCGCUGGCAGGACUUUGACUAGUCUUGCAUGUGCACGUCCCCCUCACCUUUUUUCUAUCUAUACUCACACACACACACACCUGUGCACCUUUUGUAGAUCUCUGCUCCUCUCGAAAGAGAAGGUCAGAAUCUAUGUUUUCAUCAUAUCACACACGUAGUAUGGCCAGAACGAAACAAUAUAUGUAUAAUAUAAUACAACUUUCAGCAAUGGAUCUCUUGGCUCUCGCAUCGAUGAAGAACGCAGCGAAUUGCGAUAAGUAAUGUGAAUUGCAGAUUUCCAGUGAAUCAUCGAAUCUUUGAACGCAUCUUGCGCUCCUUGGUAUUCCGAGGAGCAUGCCUGUUUGAGUGUCAUUUAAUUCUCAACCAUCUCUCUCUCUCGAGUAUGGAUUGGAUUUGGGGGUUGCUGGUGGCCUUGACCUGUCAGCUCCCCUUAAACGCAUUAGCGAUCGAGUUGGCUAGUCUUUGACGCACACGGCCUUGGACGUGAUAAUGAUCGUCCUGGCUGGAACGUCUUUCCUAGACUAUGUACAUAGAUGGCUUCUAAUUGUGAUGGAGGAAAGAAGUUGGCUUGAUGUGAGUCUAAUUUAUCAAGCUUAGCUACUAGUUAGUCGAAAGGCUGGCGAACGCAAGCAAGAUGAGAGGGAAUCAUGUCUGCUUGACCUUUCUUUCAACUUAAAAUUAAGAGACUUGACCUCAAAUCAGGUAGGACUACCCGCUGAACUUAAGCAUAUC